rnacentral:rRNA from 1 species
GACGAACGCUGGCGGCGUGCCUAAUACAUGCAAGUAGAACGCUGAAGGAGGAGCUUGCUUCUCUGGAUGAGUUGCGCACGGGUGAGUAACGCGUAGGUAACCUGCCUGGUAGCGGGGGAUAACUCUUCGAAACGAUAGCUCAUACCGCAUAAUAGUAGAUGUUCCAUGACAUUUACUUAUAAAGUGCAAUUGCAUCACUACCAGAUGGUCCUGCGUUGUAUUAGCUAGUUGGUGAGGUAACGGCUCACCAACGCAACGAUACAUAGCCGGCCUGCGAGGGGGGUCGGGCACAAUGGGACUGGGACACGGCCCAGACUCCUACGGGGGGGAGCAGGAGGGAAUCUUCGGCAAUGGAGCGAAGUCUGACCGGGCAACGCCGCGUGAGUGAAGGAGGUUUUCGGAUCGUAAAGCUCUGUUGUAAGAGAAGAACGAGUGGGGGAGUGGAAAGUGCACACUGUGACGGUAUCUUACCAGAAAGGGACGGCUAACUACGUG